rnacentral:rRNA from 1 species
GACGAACCGUGCGAACGUUGUUCGGAAUCACUGGGCUUAAAGGGCGCGUAGGCGGGUUCGCAAGUCUGUGGUGAAAGCCUCCAGCUUAACUGGAGAAGUGCCAUGGAUACUGCGCAUCUUGAGGAGGGUAGGGGCGUCUGGAACGGUUGGUGGAGCGGUGAAAUGCGUUGAUAUCGACCGGAACUCCGGUGGCGAAGGCGGCCUUCUGGACAGUGACUGACGCUGAGACGCGAAAGCGUGGGGAGCAAACAGG